rfam:Tamlana nanhaiensis strain FHC16 contig10, whole genome shotgun sequence.
GCGGAUUAGGGAUAGUAACGGCAUCCUUUUUUGAAGUAUGAGAAAAAGAUAUAGUGGAUAGCCCGACCCCAA